UGCCAGCCGCCGCGGUAAUACGGAGGGGGUUAGCGUUGUUCGGAAUUACUGGGCGUAAAGCGUACGUAGGCGGAUUAAUAAGUUAGAGGUGAAAUCCCAGGGCUCAACCCUGGAACUGCCUUUAAAACUGUUAGUCUUGAGAUCGAGAGAGGUGAGUGGAAUUCCAAGUGUAGAGGUGAAAUUCGUAGAUAUUUGGAGGAACACCAGUGGCGAAGGCGCCUUACUGGACAGAUAUUGACGCUGAGGCACGAAAGUGUGGGUAGCAAACAGGAUUAGAUA
rnacentral:rRNA from 1 species